UUGUUUUUGUAUUGUUGUAUUUGUUGUAGCGACGAGGCUACUUUAUUAAGUGUACACUGGUUAUGAGUUACCCAAGUACAAGAAGAAGAGAUACAUGGCAAAUUGUAUCGUUAAGAGUAUUAAUCUGGUUGCCGAAAAAACGAAGAAAUAAAUUAAUUGAUUGGAAGCUAUACUGAAGAUUUUUAAAAUUACCUUUUUUUGUAAUAAAGUGAAAAAUCUUCAUUUUUCGUCUUAUAACAUUUGAUAGUUAUAAGAUGGCGGCUACUGGAGAAGAUUCGAAUAAGAGCUGUAUACUAUGCGUGGAGCCUGAUAAUGAUGAAAUGGUGUGCUGCGAUAAAUGUGAUGGCUGGUAUCAUUUCUCCUAUGUAGGUGUUACAGAAGCAGUUGCAGACAUAGAAUGGAUAUGUAAAUCUUGUAUUGCUAUGCCAACUUCAUUGGUUGCAGAAUUACAACAAAGUAAAGAGCAUAUAGUAGUGUAUAGGCGAAACUAAUUGCCAAGGACCUAAGUCCCCUGUCAAAGACCUAACUGUUAGUUGAUAACUCCCAUCGCACAAGGGCAUUCAUGGAAACUCAAUAGUGGGCGAAACAGCCAAAAAGGCUAUUGAUGAGGGGGCUGAAAUAAAUACCAAAUGGCAAAGAAUGGAUGCGAUAAGGGAAAUAGAGAGAAAAAUCAAAGAUGAAUGGGAGAGAAGAUAUGAGAACAGCAUAUAAGACAAAUAAAUCAGAUAAUAACGGGGCACAGCUUCAGCCGACACGCACUGGCACGCAUGACGGUAAGUCCAGCAGGGGAUGGUAUAUGCGAAGGAUACAAUAUAGAGGAGGAUGACUAUCAUAUAAUCUUUAUCUGCGCGAAGUCACCCCGAUUUUACUCAAGUACACGGGAGUUGCAGACUUCUUUGCUAGGGAAAAGCCGAAUGAAUAUGUUCAUAUUGUAAGGUUUCUUGAGGAUAUUCUGAUGAAUCUAUGAACCCAUUGGGACGAAUAUUGGUGGCGUUGUCCCCCCCUGGACCAGCCAAGUAUUUCUCCUAUCCUUUGAAUUCCUGAAGGGGAAUGGAGUAAUGUCAAAUUCACAGUGAGAUCUCUGUUGUAGCCGUUAUAUUUAAAUAAACAAAUUUGUGUUUUUAUACCCUUCACCUUCGUGAGAAGGGUAUAUAUAAGUAUGUCAUUCCGUUUGUAAUUUCUAUAAUAUAAUUUUCCGAC